CCUACGGGCGGCAGCAGUAGGGAAUCUUCCACAAUGGACGAAAGCCUGAUGGAGCAACGCCGCGUGAGUGAAGAAGGGUUUCGGCUCGUAAAGCUCUGUUGGUAGUGAAGAAAGUUAGAGGUAGUAACUGGCCAUUAUGUGACGGUAACUACUUAGAAAGUCACGGCUAACUACGUGCCAGCAGCCGCGGUAAUACGUAGGUGGCAAGCGUUGUCCGGAUUUAUUGGGCGUAAAGCGAGUGCAGGCGGUUGAAUAAGUCUGAUGUGAAAGCCUUCGGCUUAACCGGAGAAUUGCAUCAGAAACUGUUGAACUUGAGUGCAGAAGAGGAGAGUGGAACUCCAUGUGUAGCGGUGGAAUGCGUAGAUAUAUGGAAGAACACCAGUGGCGAAGGCGGCUCUCUGGUCUGCAACUGACGCUGAGGCUCGAAAGCAUGGGUAGCGAACAGGAUUAGAUACCCGUGUAGUC
rnacentral:rRNA from 1 species